GGGGUGGUGAGCGGAGAGAGUCAGAAUUCCCGCCGCGCUGGGCGGCGGCUGCAUGGCGCGGGUGGGCGUGUAGAGCUGGGCUGCGUAGGCUUGAGGGGCUGAUCGGCCUGCGCUGCGCUGGUGAGAGGCUGUCCUUCGGAUCUGUGGCGCCGGGUCGCCAUGGAGAGCAGGUGCUACGGCUGUGCUGUCAAGUUCACCCUCUUCAAGAAGGAGUACGGCUGUAAGAACUGCGGCCGGGCCUUCUGUAAUGGCUGUCUUAGCUUCAACGCUCUGGUACCUCGGGCUGGCAACACUCAACAGAAAGUCUGCAAGCAGUGCCACGCAGUCCUGACCAGAGGAUCUUCUGACAAUACCUCCAAGUGGUCGCCACCUCAGAACUACAAGAAGCGUGUGGCAGCCUUGGAAGCCAAGAAAAAGCCCAGCACUCUCCAGAGCCAGGGCCUAACGCCACAAGACCAAGCCAUCGCUGACCGCCUGGCGCGGCUCCGUCAGGAAAACAAGCCCAAGUCGGUGCCCUCCCAGGCGGAGAUAGAGGCGCGACUAGCCGCACUGAAGGGUGAAGUCCAGGGCUCCGUCCCUUCCACGGAGGAGAUGGAGAACCGGCUUGCAGCAUUACAGGGCAGAGGGCUGCCUUCUCAUACCGUGAGACCGGCACACCAGGCGCCAGACACCAGGACCCAGGCUCAGCAGACGCAGGAUCUGCUCACACAGCUGGCAGCUGAGGUGGCUAUUGAUGAAAGCCGGGAACGAAGAGUUCCAGUGGCCUCCCCCAGAAUGACCUCAACAAGGGAGGUGGAAGGAACCAGCACACAGAUUCCCAGGGGUGGGCCAGCCCAUCCCUGGAGAAGGAGAAGAGCAGGUUGCUGGCUGAGGCGGCGGUUGAGCUUCGGGAGGAGAACACGAGGCAGGAACGGUUCCUGGCUCUCGCCAAAAGAUUGGCUGUCCUUCAGGGACAGGACCCCGACAGAGGUAAAGGCUCAAGCCAGCCUCCUUAUCCGGGCCCCUGGCCAAGGCCUGUGCCACCCCAGACCACUCUCCCUGCCAGUGCUGACACAGGUACUGAGGGUCCCUGUGUGCCAAAGGAUCUGCCGUGCCCUGUGCAGAGCCAUGAGAUAUGACAGGGCAGAGCAGGGUUGAGGACUCGGAGGCAGCCGUAAGAGGCGGUGGGACCUUCAGUCUCUUCGGGUGCUAAUGCUUCUCUACUGCCCUGCGUGCUCAGGGCUGACGCUGGGAUAGGGAAGCAGCUUGGUUCUCAGCUCUGAAAUAGGCGCCCCCAGGGAAGCAACAGUUCCAGAAGGCAGGACAGCCGUGUGGUGAGGCCUCUCCCUCACUCCUUCCUCUGUUCCCGCCCCUCAUUCAAGUGACCCUCCAGGACUAUCACCUGCCAGACAGUGAGGAGGAGGAGGACGAAGAGACGGCCAUCCAGAGAGUCCUGAAGCAGCUCACUGAAGAAGCUGCCC